ACACUCAUGGUGAAGCGGUUAUCAUGCUUGCCUUCCACGAUUACGUAAGCUGUAAUGCCGUGCGUAAGACGGUAGCAAGCGGCAGGGGUUCGACUCCCCUUGAGUGUA